rnacentral:tRNA from 1 species
UCUAAUAUGGCAGAGAAGUGCGAUGGAUUUAAACCCCAUACACAAAAGUUGACCUUUUUUUUAGAA